GUGACGCCGUCGCUCCGCCCCCUCGGCCGCUGGGCUGUGCCGCGCAGGAGGGAAGCCGGCGGGGUUGCUGGUGCUACGGUGUCCGGGGCCCUCCGCUCACCCGCCCGCUUGGCCCUAAACAGCCAGGGCGGCGGGGGGGCUGGGUCCCCCUCGCAGGUGAUGAGGCGUUAGUUCUGCAAACCACCUGCUUGCAAGUGGUUGCUCUGGAGCCUGCGCGCUCUCCACCUGCUGUAAGCAAAGGCCACCGCGGGGAGCAGCUGGGAUUCCAGACAAACCCACUUUCCAGAAAGGUCUUGUCCGGGGCGCGGGGCCCAGAGCUGAACCGAGCGCGCGCCUCCCGCAGCCGCCAGGCCCCGGGCCUGGUCUGUGGGGCCUGUCGGCACGCGUUACCUGCCGCGCGUUGGAGCCCGCUUCCUGUUCUGCCAUUUUGCUUAACAGCCAACUUGAUGGAGGGGCGUGGGGCGGGGUCGCUACGAAGGACAGUGGCAGGUUGACGUCGGGCGGUGCCGAGUUUAGGUUUUGGUCAUCGCACCGUGUGAGCCUCAAACAGAGUCUUCGGCGUGAGGGCGGGGCCCGGGCCCCCCAGGCGGUUGGAGGAAUCGCGUGCCGGUGCGGAGGGGACAGUGACGCGCAGAACGCGGGUGGCGACCCAGCGCCGGGCUGGGGGCGAGUGGAGCGGGGAGCCCCCUCCUGAACGCGGCUGCGCUGCCGGCUCCGUCCCGGUGGAACGAAGUGACAGCCCCGACGUGUGUGUGUGUGUGUGUGUGUGGGGGGGGUGGUGGGGGGUCCCGGCAGCACAGAGCCCGCUGCCGGCUCCGUCCCGCUCGGUCCCCGUCCCGAGGGCGCUCAGGCGCCUUUGGAGUCACCUGGGAGCAGGGCCUCCGUCCUGGCCGGGCCUCAGCCCCCUGCAGCCCCGCCGCACCCGCUGCCCGGCCCGGGGACCCAGCGAGGCCCCCGCCACCCCGGCCCCGGCGCUGGGACCUGAGACGGGAGCGAGCGCCGGGUCACCCAUCACACAGCUACAGAGCACGAAUCCACAAGUUAAAGGGGACGGUGUUCUUUGUAUGAUUGUUGCAACUUUUCUAUAAGUUUGAAGUAUUUCAAAAUAGAGUUUAAAAAUAAA